UACGAGGGGGGCGAGCGUUGUUCGGAAUUAUUGGGCGUAAAGGGUGCGUAGGCGGUUCGGUAAGCUUUAUGUGAAAUCUUCGGGCUUAACUCGAAGCCUGCAUAAAAUACUGCCGGGCUUGAGUAUGGGAGAGGUGAGUGGAAUUUCCGGUGUAGCGGUGAAAUGCGUAGAUAUCGGAAGGAACACCUGUGGCGAAAGCGGCUCACUGGACCAUAACUGACGCUGAGGCACGAAGGCUAGGGGAGCGAACGGG
rnacentral:rRNA from 1 species